UACGGAGGGUGCAAGCGUUAUCCGGAUUCACUGGGUUUAAAGGGUGCGUAGGCGGACAGGUAAGUCAGUGGUGAAAUCUCCGAGCUUAACUCGGAAACUGCCGUUGAUACUAUUUGUCUUGAAUAUUGUGGAGGUAAGCGGAAUAUGUCAUGUAGCGGUGAAAUGCUUAGAUAUGACAUAGAACACCAAUUGCGAAGGCAGCUUACUACACAACGAUUGACGCUGAGGCACGAAAGCGUGGGGAGCAAACAGG
rnacentral:rRNA from 1 species